AUUCAACUGACAAGUCUCAGAAUAAGAUGAAACGUGCGUCCUGGAU
rfam:Schistosoma haematobium scaffold60_9, whole genome shotgun sequence.